rnacentral:rRNA from 1 species
CUAGCGGCAGGCUUAACACAUGCAAGUCGAGGGGUACGACUCCGUCUUCGGAUGGAGGUCGACGACCGGCGCACGGGUGAGUAACGCGUAUGCAACCUACCUUUUACAGGAGGAUAGCCCAGAGAAAUUUGGAUUAAUACUCCAUAGUACUAAUGAAUCACCUGGUUUAUUAGUUAAAACUCNCGGUGGUAAAAGAUGGGCAUGCGUGUCAUUAGCUAGUUGGUAAGGUAACGGCUUACCAAGGCGAAGAUGACUAGGGGUUCUGAGAGGAAGAUCCCCCACACUGGUACUGAGACACGGACCAGACUCCUACGGGAGGCAGCAGUGAGGAAUAUUGGUCAAUGGGUGAGAGCCUGAACCAGCCAAUGCCGCUGUGAAGGAAGACUGCCCUAUGGGUUGUAAACUUCUUUUCUGCAGGAAGAAAUCACUCUACGUGUAGGGUGUUGCCGGUACUGCAGGAAUAAGCAUCGGCUAACUCCGUGCCAGCAGCCGCGGUAAUACGGAGGAUGCAAGCGUUAUCCGGAUUUAUUGGGUUUAAAGGGUGCGUAGGCGGGCUUGUAAGUCAGUGGUGAAAUGCUGUGGCUUAACCAUAGAAUUGCCAUUGAAACUGCAAGUCUUGAGUACAGUUGAGGUGGGCGGAAUGAGUAAUGUAGCGGUGAAAUGCAUAGAUAUUACUCAGAACUCCGAUUGCGUAGGCAGCUUGCUAAACUGUAACUGACGCUGAUGCACGAAAGCGUGGGGAGCGAACAGGAUUAGAUACCCUGGUAGUCCACGCUGUAAACGAUGAGCACUGGUUGUUGGCAAUACACCGUCAGCGACUGAGCGAAAGUAUUAAGUGCUCCACCUGGGGAGUACGUCGGCAACGAUGAACUCAAAGGAAUUGACGGGGGCCCGCACAAGCGGAGGACAUGUGGUUUAAUCCGAUGAUACGCGAGGAACCUUACCUGGGCUU